GUCUGUGACCAAACCACCCUGAAUGCACCCAGUCUCUUCUGAUUUGGGAAGCUAAGCAGGGUCGGGCCUGGUUAGUACUUGAAUGGGAGACAUAAUAUUAAGUUAAAUAAAUCAGACA
rnacentral:rRNA from 1 species